rnacentral:tRNA from 1 species
AAAGAUUGGAUGGUACUGGUUAAAAUGGGAUUCUCCCUCUCUUUUAAUGAGAGGGUCGAUGGUUCGAGUCCAUCAAGUCU